UAAGGAGGGUGCAAGCAUUGAUCGGAAUUACUGGGCGUAAAGGGCGCGUAGGCGGCUCGAUAAGUCAGAUGUGAAAUUCCACGGCUCAACCGUGGAGCUGCAUUUGAAACUGUCGGACUGGAGUAUAGUUAGGGAAAACGGAAUUCCACGUGUAGCGGUGAAAUGCGUAGAUAUGUGGAAUAACACCGGUGGUGAAGACGGUUUUCUGGGCUAUAGCUGACGCUGAGGCGCGAAAGCUAGUGGAGCAAACAGU
rnacentral:rRNA from 1 species